GCUGAUUCAAGAUCCCUUCGGGGUGAUUUGUUGGACGCUAGCGGCGGAUGGGUGAGUAACACGUGGGCAAUCUGCCCUAAAGACUGGGAUACCACUUGGAAACAGGUGCUAAUACCGGAUAACAACAUGAAUCGCAUGAUUCAAGUUUGAAAGGCGGCGCAAGCUGUCACUUUAGGAUGAGCCCGCGGCGCAUUAGCUAGUUGGUGGGGUAAAGGCCUACCAAGGCAAUGAUGCGUAGCCGAGUUGAGAGACUGAUCGGCCACAUUGGGACUGAGACACGGCCCAAACUCCUACGGGAGGCAGCAGUAGGGAAUCUUCCACAAUGGACGCAAGUCUGAUGGAGCAACGCCGCGUGAGUGAAGAAGGUCUUCGGAUCGUAAAGCUCUGUUGUUGGUGAAGAAGGAUAGAGGCAGUAACUGGUCUUUAUUUGACGGUAAUCAACCAGAAAGUCACGGCUAACUACGUGCCAGCAGCCGCGGUAAUACGUAGGUGGCAAGCGUUGUCCGGAUUUAUUGGGCGUAAAGCGAGCGCAGGCGGAAUGAUAAGUCUGAUGUGAAAGCCCACGGCUCAACCGUGGAACUGCAUCGGAAACUGUCAUUCUUGAGUGCAGAAGAGGAGAGUGGAACUCCAUGUGUAGCGGUGGAAUGCGUAGAUAUAUGGAAGAACACCAGUGGCGAAGGCGGCUCUCUGGUCUGCAACUGACGCUGAGGCUCGAAAAGCAUGGGUAGCGAACAGGAUUAGAUACCCUGGUAGUCCAUGCCGUAAACGAUGAGCGCUAGGUGUUGGGGGACUUUUCCGGUCCUCAGUGCCGCAGCAAACGCAUUAAGCGCUCCGCCUGGGGAGU
rnacentral:rRNA from 1 species